CGUGUGAGGGCGGCCCUGGGUUAAAGGUCGUGCGCCAACGCGAUUGCUGCCUGGCGCAGCCCACCAAACAGGGCUUCUUCGCUCCUUCUGCACAAACGGGAAACGGUAGACGAAGUACGUCGCUCAAGGGCUCGCAGCUGCAAGGUGGCCGCGCAGGAUCGCAACGCAGCCGCGUCUGCAGAGUCCCUCUGCGGUCUGACCCAGCCUUCAAGUCCUGAAACUUCUAAAUUCUGACCCAUGCCCAACCAGACUGAAGCGGGGGCGUCUCCUGCCCGCCCCGUCAGAGACGCGUGGAAGAGCACCAAGCAUGAGCCAGAAACCAACAUGAGUUACACGGAUGAAGAAAAGGUGGUUCCCUGUUUGUAAGGAAGCAGCAGCUUAAUCAAAUAGUAAGACCAGCCCCGAAGUCAAAAGACCUGGAAGUCCUCGUGUGAGUCCAGCUGGGCCAGUUAUUUCUAGCUCUAUCACCCUGGGUUAAGUCCUUUAGCCUCUCUAAGCCUCGAUUUCCUGGUACUAUAGAGGACAGGGGGAGGAUGUUUCAUUCAUAUGAGAAAUGCCUAAAAACACUACCUGGCCCACAGCUGAUGCUCAUUAAAUGUUAGUUUCCUCCAAGCAAGAAAAAGAAUCGCAUUCCAACCAGUCCCCUGGAUUGGAUUUGUAUUUUCUCUUAAGGGCCAGCAGGCCGACUUCAAGGGUCUCAAAUCAUCACCAGCAUAAAGCAGAAAAGAGGAGAAAGAGAUGCCCUGCAGCCAGGUUACGGUCGAGCCCUGGCAACCCAGCCCGGCCCGCUCCUAUUCACCGGGAGCUCACAGGGAAAGCUGGAUGUGGAGCAGCUCGGGAUGAAGACACAGGGAGCCAGGACACCACCACCAGCAGAUGCUGCCCAUGACUCCCGGCGCCCACCAAGACACCUUCCUGCCCAGAACUCUCCCACGAGGCCAAGACGCAGCUUGGGAUGAGCAUACUGACCCCUCCAGACCCACUCUAACAGCCAGGACAGAGACACCCGGUCUGAUAGCAAAAUGACUGACGCUCCUCAACUCAGAGGUUUUGCACAUGCUGAACCACCCUUUGAUCCCCCUUCCCUUGCUCACAAGUCACUCUUUCCAGGAAGCCUUCCUUGGUUCCCCCGCCUAUGGGCUGUGUGCCCUUCCUCUAAGAGCCCACGGCACCCAGGGUAGCCCUCAGUUGUAGAACCUCUCCUGCCAUGUUGCAAUCACAUCUUCACCUGCCUGUUUCAGCUCAACUCCGAGCUCCACGAGAGCAGAGGCAUCUUGUUCAGCCUGGUACAGGACCUGACACAAGGCAGCUGCUCAGUGAACAUCUGCUGAACUGCAGGAACUGAACUGGGAGUGGCUGGGGGGCCACAACUAUCACAUGACCAUGGCCACCACAGCCAAGUGAGGGUGGGACUCACUGCGAUGUUGAGCUUGAUGGUCUGGCCCUCCUUGAAGCCCAGGUCCAAUUUGGGGCCUUGGUCUGGGUUCUGGGCUUGUUUUGCAAAUUCACACUGCUGUUUCACCCACCUGGGGAGACAGGAAGAAAAUGUGAGGAAAGAAGAGACCAUCUACCCUGCACUCGCUCGCUCACUUCACUGCCACCUGCCCCCGUCCAGGCCGAGGCGCGUAUGGAGGCAGGGUGGCAGAAAGAGUGCAGGCUGGGGAGGUGGGCCUGAAUUCAAAUCCUGGCUCUGACACUUAAGUAGCUGCAUGCACGUCUGUUUCCUCAUCGGCACAAGAGGCUGGCAAUUCUACAGGUCUAAAAGACGGCUAUGCGAGUUCAGUAAGACCCCUUAUGUAGAGGGUUCUCAACAUUGUCCCCAUGAAAUGUGAGAGUCUGGCCCCUUCCUCCCUGGCACUGGGCAUGAGAACUAAGACAUGGUCUCUGCAUACACCCGGGAUGCUCAUAAGGUAGAUGGGAGACAAAACAGAUGCCCAGAAGUAGAGGGCAAGACAAAGGUCCCCACCCUCCAUACAACACCAUCCAGCAGCCACCUAGGACAGAAGCACCGGGUCAGGGAAGUGCCAGAGGCACCCACGUGAGUGGCUGGACACUGCCUGUUCACGGGCAGCCAGAGCUGGAGCCCUGCAGAUGGCAGAGGAGGACUUUCCUGCCCUGUCUUUGAGCUUCAUAAAGGAUACCAGGGCAUCUGCUGGGUAGCCUGGAAAUCCAAGCACCAUUUACUCCAAGAACAGGCCCAGAAAGGCCAAAGGAGCCUGGUAAGGGAAAAGACGUGACACCCUGAAGGCUGGGCCAGCUGACAGGAUGGCAGAGACGGGCCUUGGGAAAAGGAGAGGGCUUCACAGCAGAGAGAAGGGAGCCUGCCCCAAAGCAGAACUGUGUUUUCCUGAGGCUCUGCUACCAGACAAAUCACACACAACCCCUUGGAGUAUCCAAACCUGGGAAAUCAUUCUGUCCAGGGAAAGAAGGGAGGAGGCAUGAGCACGUGUCUCCCAGAACCACUCACUUGAAAUGGUCCUGCAAUGCAACGUUGAAGUCAAAGGCAUCGCCUCGGUCCCCGAAGCCAAUUCCAAUAAAUGCCCGUCGCCCUGGAGGACAACACAUGAUCAAUCCCACUUUCCAGCGGCAGAGAAAACUUUUCUCAAGGGGAGGAAGCACCAAGACCCACAUGUACCAUUUCCAUCUUCGAUGCGGAUAACGAAGUACCUGCUGGAAUCCGUCACGCUCUCCACAGCUAUGCCAGGAAACUGAUCCACGGGGGCCUGAGCAAAGAGCUCCCCUGAAAGCACAAGUUAGGGUGAGCCUUGAUCCCCCUCCCAGCCUAGUGUUGCCAGCACACCACCGGGGUCUUUUUCCUGCAAAGCAACUCCAGCAAGCUGAGGCAGAGGGGCAAACCUCACUCUGGGAUUCAAAUCAAAUCCAUUCUUACGGAAGGGAAGACAGAAAUAUAACUAAGGAGAGGUUAAGUCAGAGACGGCUUAUAGGCCAAAUCCAGCCCACAGUUUAAUUUUAAUACAUUUUAUUAAUUGCCAAACAUUUCGAAAUCAGAGUACAUGUAAAAUAAUACAAAUUUCUUGCUUCUUUUAAAAUUAGGCUCUACCAUGCUGGGCCUCCAUCCCCACCUGAGACGAACAGGCUGGAGCUGCUACCUACCCAUUCCACUGGCUUUACCAAUUUACAUUACCUGCCCGGACCCUGAGCACCCUGGCCUAGGCACAACACAUCACACCUUCCAAAAAGGCCUAGUACCUGAGGCAGGACUGUAAGAAGGGGCAGCGAGCCCUGAGGAAAGAAGGGUAGUAGUUCUUGUACCAAUAGCAGAAUCUGAAACAGGAUGAUUUAAUUUAAUCUCAGAGACAGGGGAAAAGACUGGCUUUAAAAGGAGCCCUUGUGAACUGCACCCCCUUGUCAACUACGGCUCUGUACAGGAGCAGGACAACACACAACUCUUGUGAGCAUUAAUGACUGGCAUCAUUUUUGCAUGUGCUGACCUCUGUCAGUGCUUUAAGUAUUUAACCAAAUAUCUUCCAAGCCCUGUGGUUUAAAGGGGACUGUGUAAUCAAGGCUGAACUGAAUUAAAAUCCAUGGUCCUUGA